GUAGAGGAUAUGUUCCCCACUCUCCUUUUUGUUCUUUAAAUUUUGGAUACAUAUGGCUAAAUUGCUCCUUAGACACUACUAAUUGACACCCCACAGCAAUGUUUUCUACCGGUAGAGUCUUUCCAACCCUUUGGAUCUUUACCAAUCCAGUUGUUGCAAAAUUCUCUCUCAAGUACAGUUACAAUUUACGUUUUACAUUUAUUUAAUAUUUUGAAAUCUUUGUUCAUGGAACUGUGAUGGCCCUGCCUCUGUGUACUUCAUUCACAAACGUCCGUUUCAACAUAUUUCACUCUUACAGCUUCGAGAAUUUGUCGGGUCUACUGGUGUGGGCUUUUGCAUGUGCUGUUCUCUCCUUGGAAAGCUCUUUCCUUAGUAAACUACCAUAGUCUGAAUGUGCCCCCACUUCCCUCAGUUCAUUUCUUUAAAUCCUAAUGCUCAAGGCGUCAGGAGAUGGGGCCCUGGGAGAUGAAUAGGAUUAGUGCCUUAUAAAAGAGGCCCCAGAGAGAACCCUCGCUCCUUCCGCGUGUGAGGCUACGGUGAGAAGCCAGCGCUCUGAGGAAGCCAGCCCUUGCCAGACGUGGAAUCUGCAGACGUCUUGAUCUUGAACUUCCCAGCCUCCAGAACUUUCCAAGAUCUCUUUUGGCUUCCUGACGGAUGGUCAGCAGAGGCCACCUGCACCAUAGUGUCAGUCGAGUUGUGGUUAAAGAUGCUUUCAUGGAUUCCAGUUUAGAGGAUCCUGCUGGUCACAGUCCAGAGCUUGGUAACUGGGUAUUAUAGAAGGAACAUCAGAAGAAGACAGCCCUUGAGCCCCAUUGGAAAGGACCUUACCUAGUAUUUGUAACUACUGACACUGCUGCAGAACUAGAAGGCAGUUAAUGUUGGAGCUAUAUCUCAUAGCUUAAGAAGUCUCCACCUGACAUCUGGUCUCGUACAAAUGCUGGAGACCUCCAAAUCAAACUUACUGGGAAGAGAAGACGCUAACAUCUGAGGCAGACAGUUCCUCC
rnacentral:lncRNA from 1 species